CCUACGGGUGGCUGCAGUAGGGAAUAUUGGUUAAUGUGCGAAAGCGCGAACCAGCAACGCCGCGUGUGCGAUGAAGGCCUUCGGGUCGUAAAGCACUUUUUGCAGGGAAGAGGAAGGACGGUACCUGCAGAAUAAGUCUCGGCUAACUACGUGCCAGCAGCCGCGGUAAAACGUAGGAGACGAGCGUUAUCCGGAUUUACUGGGCGUAAAGCGCGUGCAGGCGGCAUGGCAAGUUGGAUGUGAAAGCUCCCGGCUUAACUGGGAGAGGUCGUUCAAUACUGCCAGGCUUGAGAGUGGUAGAGGGAAGCGGAAUUCCGGGUGUAGUGGUGAAAUGCGUAGAUAUCCGGAGGAACACCAGUGGCGAAAGCGGCUUCCUGGCCCAUUUCUGACGCUCAGACGCGAAAGCUAGGGUAGCAAACGGGAUUAGAUACCCUAGUAGUC
rnacentral:rRNA from 1 species